rnacentral:rRNA from 1 species
GACAGAGGCCUCGAGCGUUAGGCGGAAUCACUGGGCUUAAAGCGUGUGUAGGCGGAUCGUUAAGUGCCUUGUGAAAUCCCACGGCUUAACUGUGGAACGGCUGGGCAUACUGGCGGUCUUGAGCCAUCUAGGGGCGACUGGAACAAACGGCGGAGCGGUGAAAUGCGUAGAUAUCGUUUGGAACGCCAAUGGUGAAAACAGGUCGCUGGGGAUGAGCUGACGCUGAGACACGAAAGCCAGGGGAGCAAACGGG